rnacentral:precursor_RNA from 8 species
AUGGUGGAUGAAAUCAACCUUAGACCGCUAAAGCAGCGCGUCAUGGUUUUCAACAUUAGAGAAGGUGCAAGCCAUCAUUUGCUGCUCUAGAGUUUUAAGGCAUUCUCCUACACUAAACC